rnacentral:rRNA from 1 species
AUUGAACGCUGGCGGCAGGCUUAACACAUGCAAGUCGAGCGGGGUGAUGGUGCUUGCACUAUCACUUAGCGGCGGACGGGUGAGUAAUGCUUAGGAAUCUGCCUAUUAGUGGGGGACAACGUCUCGAAAGGGAUGCUAAUACCGCAUACGUCCUACGGGAGAAAGCAGGGGAUCACUUGUGACCUUGCGCUAAUAGAUGAGCCUAAGUCGGAUUAGCUAGUUGGUGGGGUAAAGGCCUACCAAGGCGACGAUCUGUAGCGGGUCUGAGAGGAUGAUCCGCCACACUGGGACUGGGACACGGCCCAGACUCCUACGGGAGGCAGCAGUGGGGAAUAUUGGACAAUGGGGGGAACCCUGAUCCAGCCAUGCCGCGUGUGUGAAGAAGGCCUUAUGGUUGUAAAGCACUUUAAGCGAGGAGGAGGCUCUUUUGGUUAAUACCCAGAAUGAGUGGACGUUACUCGCAGGAUAAGCACCGGCUAACUCUGUGCCAGCAGCCGCCGUAAAAC